AUGAAAAUUUUUUGCGACAAAAAAAUAUUUGGUCGUCAUUUAUAAAACGACGUCGUUUUGUACCCACUCUCAGAAUCAAAAUUUGGUCGCCAUUUAUAAAAUUUGGUCGCCAUUUCUAAUCCCCGUCUCUCCUCUCUGUCUCCAGCUCGCUCUCUGUGUCUCUGUAUAUGUUGAUCCUCCCUCUCCCUCUCUCUGUAUUCUCUCUCUCAAUCGGUGGCCACUCUCUCUAGCUCACCGAAGUCCCUCACGACCGUGAAAGCAAAACAAGCUGAGAGAGAGCUCAUAGUGCUGAAUAGAGAGAGCGCCAAUUUGGUUAGAAACAGAAGCAGAAGAAGAGGGAUGACCAAUCCACUGUCGUCAGAGACUCUCCGGCCGAUCGAAACCUUAGAAAUCGAGAACGACCUCUCUCUAGUCCCCCGCAUGAAGCUCCUCCUCACUAUCCACUGUGCAGACCACUCCGUCAAGCCCCUCGACGAGUGGUAACUCAAGCGCUCCCUCUCUCAUCUCUCUUUGAAAUAGGUGCGAAACAAGCAAACAACGAACCACUCGCUCGCUCGCUCUCUCUCUCGUCUUUGCGUUCGAUUCGAACCCUAGGCACAUUGAAUCAAUCAUUCGGAGUCUCUCUCGGGAUUGAUCAAGACCAUUGUUGGGGUUGUGGAGGCUUGUCAUUCUCUUGGGGUAAUGCACAGAGAUCUCAAGCCUGAGAAUUUCUUGUUCGAUACUCCUGACGAGGGCACCAAGCUCAAGGCCACUGAUUUUGGGCUCUCGAUUUUCUAUAAACCUGGCAGAUAUUGACAACAGUGGAACAAUUGACUAUGGUGAAUUUAUUGCUGCUACGUUGCACAUAAAUAAGAUGGAUAGAGAAGAGAAUUUGAUCGCAGCAUUCUCUUUCUUUGACAAGGAUGGUAGUGAUUAUAUAACGAUUGAUGAGCUUCAAUAGGCUUGCAGAGACUUUGGUCUAGGUGAUGUUCAAUUGGAUGAUACGGUCACAGAAAUUGAUCAAGAUAAUAUUGGGGGUUGGCAAUAUAUUGUUUUUCCGGGACGGUAUAUUUACACUCAGAGGUUCAAAGAUGCAAAUGUCAAUGAUAAGUGAUGGUUGGUGGAUCAGAUACCUUAUCCUGUGCUCAAUGUGGCAAACCUGCCCAUCUUCAGUGAAUAGCAGAUGCUGCAGCUAGAAGUCGAAACUAUCCCACUCUGAAGCAUAAACUGUGAGUAUCUUGAUCAGUGAAGUGCCAAACAGUUGGGAGCAACUGCUGUCAAUUUGGUUGCUGGAGAAAAACCUGCUGAUGUUUACUCAUGAAUAGCUGCUAGGUAAGUAGCUUUUUCACAAUGCAAUAGUUAUGAGCAUUAUCAAUUUCUCUUUUCUACAUGGAUUCUUUCCAAACCCCUUCCUUUUGUAAGCUUCUCUUUAUUGGUAAUUCUGUGCCUGAUUGGCCCAGUUCUUAUGCAGGCAGUUUCUAGAAGAGCCACCUUUCAUGAAACAAUUAGAGACUAUGAACAAGCAGCCAGUGACCUUCAUAGACUGAUCUCUCUUCUUGAAAAGCAAUCACAAGAAAAGGUUCAACAGUGUGGCUCUGGCGGCAAUGUUAAAGAAUUAAGACAAGCUCGUCGUCACGUAUCCUCAGUGGAAGAAAAG